UACGUAGGGUGCGAGCGUUGUCCGGAAUUAUUGGGCGUAAAGAGCUUGUAGGCGGUUUGUCGCGUCUGCUGUGAAAAUCCGGGGCUCAACCCCGGACUUGCAGUGGGUACGGGCAGACUAGAGUGUGGUAGGGGAGACUGGAAUUCCUGGUGUAGCGGUGAAAUGCGCAGAUAUCAGGAGGAACACCGGUGGCGAAGGCGGGUCUCUGGGCCGAUAUUGACGCUGGAGGAGCGAAAGCGUGGGGAGCGAACAGG
rnacentral:rRNA from 1 species